rnacentral:rRNA from 1 species
UGGGGAAUUUUGGACAAUGGGCGAAAGCCUGAUCCAGCAAUGCCGCGUGUGUGAAGAAGGCCUUCGGGUUGUAAAGCACUUUUGUCCGGAAAGAAAUCCUUGGCUCUAAUACAGUCGGGGGAUGACGGUACCGGAAGAAUAAGCACCGGCUAACUACGUGCCAGCAGCCGCGGUAAUACGUAGGGUGCAAGCGUUAAUCGGAAUUACUGGGCGUAAAGCGUGCGCAGGCGGUUUGCUAAGACCGAUGUGAAAUCCCCGGGCUCAACCUGGGAACUGCAUUGGUGACUGGCAGGCUAGAGUAUGGCAGAGGGGGGUAGAAUUCCACGUGUAGCAGUGAAAUGCGUAGAGAUGUGGAGGAAUACCGAUGGCGAAGGCAGCCCCCUGGGGCCAAAUACUGACGCUCAUGCACGAAAGCGUGGGGAGCAAACAGGAUUAGAUACCCUGGUAGUCCAGCGCCCUAAACGAUGUCAACUAGUGUUGGGGAUUCAUUUCCUUAGUAACGUAGCUAACGCGUGAAGUUGACCGCCUGGGGAGUACGGUCGCAAGAUUAAAACUUAAAUGAAUUG